AUCACUUCUCGGCCUUUUGGCUAAGAUCAAGUGUAGUAUAUGUUCUUAUCAUUUUAAUUCAAUGAUAGCAAAAAUAUUGAUUAAUUUCCAAUCUGAAUAUUCCAAAUCUGCCUUUCUAGAGGAAAGAACACCUGUU
ensembl:snRNA U2 U2 spliceosomal RNA